rnacentral:lncRNA from 1 species
AAUAGUCUAUGAAAGACAGCAUAAAACUUAAUUAAUAUCAUUAAUCAAGUUAUACAUCAUAUGAAACCAUUCUCUUAAGACUCAAAGUAUGACAUAACAUACUAUAACAUCAACAACAUCUUGCAGCGGAAAGUAGCCAGACAUAUGUAUGAAGACAUAUUCUAGACAGGUUAACUAUUUAUUAACAACCCUGGAAACUCCGCUCAUUGCAGCACCAUCAUCACAUCAGCUCAACCUGCACAUUUAGAAAACAUAUGCAGGGCUGAGUACAAAAGCACUCAGUGGGCACGUAUGCCUAGUAUAAAAAUACAUGCUUAAACUGUAAAUGUCAUGCCAUCAUAAAAGUACAGCAAGGGGUUUUUGCUAAAAAGGCCCAAGCUUACUAAAUUCAUUUGUGAUUCUUAAGUUCGCUGAUCAGCUAAGUUCUCUUGUAAUCUAUCAUAUCUGGAACUGUGUGCCGGAGAGGUGGCCACCUCUCACGGUCACUUGACCGGCCAACCCGCUAGAUGACUCACGGUCACUGGUGUACACUAGCCCUGGCAGGAUAGCUAUCAACUGCUCAGGACCCGAAUUCGAUUGCAUCAUUGGCAAAGCCAAAGCAGAUAGAUAUCAUACUAAAAUUGAAACAUUUUAUGGCAAGACAAUACUUGAAAUAACUUUAACUCAAAGAUUUUUCAUGAAAUAACUUGCUUGAACGUAACAUUUAAACUCAUUUUGAUAUAUAUGAAAGUAAUGCCACCUGGAUAGGCAAAGCCUGAAGAUCAUACACAUAUAACUUGUCUUGGGAAAAACAACGCUAAUCCCCUUGGUCCACAAAGCCUACAAGAAAUUCUAUUCUUAAUAGGUCUCCUUAAUCUUUUCUUAAGUCAUAGAGGACGUGCUAGACAUUCUUUGAUUCAUCAC